AGAGUGCUGAUUCGCGCUUUUACAAACCUUUAGCUAGACAGAAAAGUUCUCUAAGUCCCGCCGGACCCAGAAGCCCAGCCGGCUUCGCUUCUCAAUGGCAGUCGCAGCGGGACUUUGUGGCACCUAGCCCGGGCACUCUGGCAGCCCACAGGGAGCUCAUCCCCCGAUCAAGCCCAGCAGGCGCCUGCCGGCUGCGGGGCCCGCCAAGCCCGCGCUCACCCGGAACCCACGCCGGCCCGCUAGCGCCGGGCGCGCAGCCUCGGCGGGCGGGCGCCUCGCCUUCCACACCUCCCCGCCAGCAGAGGGAGCUGGCUCCGGCCUCGGCCAGCCCCAGAGAGGGGCCCCCUCAGCGCAGCGGCGGGCUGAAGGGCUGCUGGAGCGCGGCCAGAGCGGACGCCGAGGCCGAGGAGGCGCCGAGAGCGAGUGAGAGCUGCUAGCCAGUUGUCACCUCUCACAGAGAGAAGCUUUAGGGGCCGGAUCCUGAUACAGAGCAGACACCUCCAGAGUUCUUUCCAACGCGUGAUUACCUCAAGCCUGGAAUCCACUCUUGACUAGAGAUUGACUGGAAGAUUGACUGCAAUUGAUUUGUAACCUGGUUGGGCCCAUCCUGGCACGGGUUCCUUCACUAGAUGGAAUAAUAAUUCAAAACAAGUCAUCGGAGCAGGUUGCACCGCCUGACACCUCCUAAGCCGUUUGUUUCUCCUGCAUUCCAAACCUCUCGCUUUAAAAACCCCUGCAUUCCCUCCACAAAUUAAAGAGUGGAAAUGUUUGGAAAGAAUUCCGCCCAGUCUUGCCCUUGCUACCACAGAUAAUAA
rnacentral:lncRNA from 10 species